rnacentral:rRNA from 2 species
GCGCGCGCAGGCGGUUUCUUAAGUCUGAUGUGAAAUCCCACGGCUCAACCGUGGAGGGUCAUUGGAAACUGGGGAACUUGAGUGCUGAAGAGAAAAGCGGAGAUUCCACGUGUAGCGGUGAAAUUGCGUAGAGAUGUGGAGGAACACCAGUGGCGAAGGCGGCUUUUUGGUCUGUAACUGACGCUGAGGCGCGAAAGCGUGGGGAGCAAACAGGAUUAGAUACCCUGGUAGUCCACGCCGUAAACGAUGACUGCUUAGUGUUAGAGGGUUUCCGCCCUUUAUUGCUGCACCUAACGCAUUAAUCACUCCGCCUGGGGAGUACGGUCGCAAGACUGAAACUCAAAGGAAUUGACGGGGGCCCGCACAAGCGGUGGAGCAUGUGGUUUAAUUCAAAGCAACGCGAAAAACCUUACCAGGUCUUGACAUCCUCUGACUACUCUAAAAAUAGAUCGUUCCCCUUCGGAGGACAGAAUGACAGGUGGUGCAUGGUUGUCAUCAUCUCGUGUCGUGAGAUGUUGUGUUAAGUCCCGCAACGAGCGCAACCCUUGAUC